GUGUUGCAUGAAAGGAGAGAAGAUUAACAUUCCCACUGACAAGGAUAGUAGGGGCUUUGGCCUGCAACAUACAUAUGGUUAAGGCACUGCCACCUACUCUGUGACAUCUAAUCAAUGUUUUAA